rnacentral:rRNA from 1 species
ACAAGCGGUGGAGCAUUGUGGUUUAAUUCGAAGCAACGCGAAGAACCUUACCAGGUCUUGACAUCCCGAUGCUUAUUUCUAGAGAUAGAAAGUUACUUCGGUACAUCGGUGACAGGUGGUGCAUGGUUGUCGUCAGCUCGUGUCGUGAGAUGUUGGGUUAAGUCCCGCAACGAGCGCAACCCCUAUUGUUAGUUGCCAUCAUUCAGUUGGGCACUCUAGCGAGACUGCCGGUAAUAAACCGGAGGAAGUGGGGAUGACGUCAAAUCAUCAUGCCCCUUAUGACCUGGGCUACACACGUGCUACAAUGGUUGGUACAACGAGUUGCGAGUCGGUGACGGCGAGCUAAUCUCUUAAAGCCAAUCUCAGUUCGGAUUGUAGGCUGCAACUCGCCUACAUGAAGUCGGAAUCGCUAGUAAUCGCGGAUCAGCACGCCGCGGUCGAAUACGUUCCCGGGCCUU